GGUAGGGAGUUUGUAGAAGAGAUGAGGAUUAGUGGUGGUGACCUUAUUGCGAGAGUCCGAUACAGAUUUGAGGAACCUAAUAAGGAUAACAAAGUAAAUCAGAAGUGGAGCGGCGAUGUCAAGGACGAGGCUCUUCCCAUAUUGAGGAAAUUACAAGACAGAUUUGACUGUUUCCCUUCUCACUAUAGAUUUCAAAUAUAUAAUGGAAGGGCAGUAGUUGUUAUCAAGACUGAAGCAGCCACACCUCUAUCAACUACAUUGCAAGUGGAAUUGUAUUCCACUAACCUUUUAGAGGACUUCAGAUUACGAGGAGAAAAUGCUGACUUUGGUUUGGAAGGUGAAGAGCUUAGCAGAGCCUUGUCAGGGGUUGUCAACCAAAAUGCACAACAACGAGAUAAGAAAAUCUACAUCUGCCUGUAAUUCGGGAUACCUCAUCUAUCGUUCUUCAAAUGGUUCAAAACUGAUGAUGGCGCCGAGAUGUUGCCCUUACAGAUCCCCAGGCUGCGCAGGAGUACUAUGAGGUUGCGGAUUUGCCUGACCAGUUUGUGUCACUGGACGAGAUCGUUUGGAUGCAUAGUUUAUUGGUGGAAAUAACCGAAGAGGAUGAGUUUGCUGAGGAGUUUGUACGGGUAGCCAUUUAUGACGAUCUCUGUGUGGUUCUUUAUAAUGACAACAACACUAAGACUUUUGAGAUGACAAGAAGAAACAAUGUGGAGCGUCGUGACAUAGAGUCGACUAUACAUAUUGAAUCUUUUAAACGUCUGUAUGAGAGCUUUCCUUUAGACAGAAAGCUGGAUCUUUACUAUGGUGAGUUCCAUAUGAGAUUAAACAACCUUAUAAAUUUCUACUCAAAGUUUAUAAAU